GAUGAACGCUGGCGGCGUGCUUAACACAUGCAAGUCGAACGGAAAGGCCCAAGCUUGCUUGGGUACUCGAGUGGCGAACGGGUGAGUAACACGUGGGUGAUCUGCCCUGCACUUCGGGAUAAGCCUGGGAAACUGGGUCUAAUACCGGAUAGGACGAUGGUUUGGAUGCCAUUGUGGAAAGUUUUUUCGGUGUGGGAUGAGCUCGCGGCCUAUCAGCUUGUUGGUGGGGUAAUGGCCUACCAAGGCGUCGACGGGUAGCCGGCCUGCGAGGGUGUACGGCCACAUUGGGACUGAGAGACGGCCCAGACUCCUACGGGAGGCAGCAGUGGGGAAUAUUGGACAAUGGGCGCAAGCCUGAUGCAGCGACGCCGCGUGGGGGAUGACGGCCUUCGGGUUGUAAACUCCUUUCGCUAGGGACGAAGCGUUUUUGUGACGGUACCUGGAGAAGAAGCACCGGCUAACUACGUG
rnacentral:rRNA from 1 species